CCUACGGGAGGCAGCAGUGGGGAAUAUUGCACAAUGGGGGAAACCCUGAUGCAGCGACGCCGCGUGAGUGAAGAAGUAUUUCGGUAUGUAAAGCUCUAUCAGCAGGGAAGAAAUAGCGACCUUUGGGUCGCCAGACGGUACCUGAUUAAGAAGCCCCGGCUAACUACGUGCCAGCAGCCGCGGUAAUACGUAGGGGGCAAGCGUUAUCCGGAUUUACUGGGUGUAAAGGGAGCGUAGACGGCAGCGCAAGUCUGAAGUGAAAUGCCGGGGCGUAAACCCGGAACUGCUUUGGAAACUGGGCAGACAGAGUGCAGGAGAGGUAAGUGGAAUUCCUAGUGUAGCGGUGAAAUGCGUAGAUAUUAGGAGGAACACCAGUGGCGAAGGCGGCUUACUGGACUGUAACUGACGUUGAGGCUCGAAAGCGUGGGGAGCAAACAGGAUUAGAUACCCCGGUAGUC
rnacentral:rRNA from 1 species